ACUGCUGCCUGCGCAGGGAAAUCGGCAAGAGGACGUGGCUGACGGGCAGGUUAGAAGCUGUUGGAACAUGUUUAAAGGCUCAGAGAAAGGAGCUGGUGAGAAGAUGAGGGGGAAUACAGGUGACAGAACAUACAGGACAGGACUUCUGUGGAAAGAGAAGACAAAAAUACUAAUAUGCCCUGGAAAAAGCUAUUGGCAGCACAUCUGUUGCAUUUUUCCUGCAAGCCAAAGGAAAUGAGGAACAGUCCAGUGCCUAUGAGUCACAUCUCCGCCCACUGAGUGAGACGUUUCUGGUUUUGCCCUGGAGGGAUCAGGUAGAAGUGUUCUGGCAUAAAAGUAGCUAAGCAUCACUUUCCUUAAGGGCACAGCCCAGUGCCCCAGCCUCAAGGCAGAUUGUUCCUCGACAUCUCAUAGGCAUCUCGAGUUUGGAAGCACAUCUCUCCAAAACAAGUGUUUAGGUGUUUAGCUUCUCAAAUGAUGAAAGAGGAGAAAAUCGAGGCUAGAGUAUGAUAUCCUGAUGGUAAUAGGAGCAGGGGCUCAAUAACAUGGGGCCAGACAAAGUCAUAUUUGGGGACUGCUCAACUGUUGA